rnacentral:rRNA from 1 species
GUGGGGAAUUGUUCGCAAUGGGCGCAAGCCUGACGACGCAACGCCGCGUGGAGGAUGAAGGAUUUCGGUCCGUAAACUCCUUUCGACCGAGAUGAAUUCUCGCCGACCUAACACGUCGGCGAGGUGACAGUAUCGAGGGAAGCAGCCCCGGCUAACUCCGUGCCAGCAGCCGCGGUAAUACGGGGGGGGCAAGCGUUGUUCGGAAUUACUGGGCGUAAAGGGUUCGUAGGUGGCGUGCUAAGUCAGACGUGAAAUCCCUCAGCUUAACUGGGGAACUGCGUCUGAGACUGGCAGGCUUGAGGACAGGAGAGGAACGCGGAAUUCCAGGUGUAGCGGUGAAAUGCGUAGAUAUCUGGAGGAACACCGGUGGCGAAGGCGGCGUUCUGGACUGUUUCUGACACUGAGGAACGAAAGCCAGGGGAGCAAACGGGAUUAGAAACCCUGGUAGUCC